AUGCGGUGUGUGCGGGAACUGGUCAACCAGCGCCACUUUCUCCAGGCGAUACCAAGGUGCAUCUCGCAAGAGUAGGUCUAGGUCACGCGUCUGGCUCGCUGGAUUACAGGACACGUAUACAAGGCGGCGCGGUCGUAGUGCCGGCGGUGCACCGGCGAUCGCUUUGAGCUGCCGCGGGUGCACGCCGGCACGCGGCGGGUCCAUUACCAGCAGGUCCACUGGAUGUUGCCGCGCCAGCGGCAAGUGUCGAAAGAUGACUUGCCACAAGUUCUCUUUCUCCAGGUCCGUCACUUGAAAAACCGUGUUUGUGCGUGCAUUGAGUCUGGCGUUCGUGCGGGCGUCAUCGACGGCACUCGCCACGAGCUCCAGUCCCAGAACUUGCUCGGCGAAAGGUGCCAAGCAAAGCGCAAUGGUGCCAGUGCCGCAGAAGAGGUCCACAACGAGCGCACCGGUGUCUUGUCUGGCCUGCGGGCUCGACACGGCAAGCUCGGCAGAAGACUCUGCAGCGGGUGACACCUGACCGACGCUCGGCUGUUCCAGGAGGCCGCUGUUCUCCAGAACAACCGCCAUGAGCCGUUCAGCUUGUGCUGGAUUCGUCUGAAAGAAGGAAUUCGCGGAAAUCUGAAAGUUGAUGCCCGUCUCGGACCAGGAGCUGGUUUGGAUUCGAGAGCGCACGUGGCGAAGCGGACGCAGGCACUGUUCGAUGGUAUCCUGGGUACCUGCCAGGCGUCGUUGGCUCUCUCCGACCGCAACUCCGGAGCGAUUGCUGGUAAUGUUUUGCAGCACGCAAACAAGGCCACGAUUGGUCUCACCGAAAGCUUUCCACAGCGCAGCCGCAACGUCCUCCAGUGCAGCCUGCUGGUGAGCGUCUGCCGGUGGGCUCGUGACUAGGUUGACCAUCACCUGCGUCUGAUUGUGUCGGUCUUGAGCUGUCCGAAUGACCAGGUUGCGCAGGAAACCAACGUGUUCCACGAGGUCGUAGGGCGGCAAGAGCGUCUCGGCCAGCGGUCGACAAUGACGCUCGACGAAGCGAAGGAUUUCGUUCGCGACGUCGAUCUGAAGUGCGCAGUCCUCAAUGCAGAGCACCUUAUCGUAGCGUCGCGGUACGUGCAGUCCCAGCGCAAACCCAGUGCGCAUGUCCUCACCGCUUUCCGGAGCUGUGUCCGUCCCGGGUCGUUUCCUACCAGAACUAACCGUGUUUUCGUCUCGCGUGGACGUGUCCCGGCCCUGACGCAGCGUGACCUUUCCGCUAUCGUCUGCUGUAUUCGGUUUCGGACGCCAUACACGAGUUCCAAAGGUGAAAUCCAUCUUGUUCCGAUACGCGUAGAGUCCUGUAGGCACCGUUGCUCCUACGGCCGGUAAGAACUCUACCGAUGCCUCAGAUGCAAGUCCAUCUGUCUCCAGACGGCGGAGCAAGGCCCGAUACAUGUCACGAACUUGCUCCUCCUUCUCGGACAACUGUUUUGUGUAGAUCAAGUUCUGAAACUUGCAGCCUCCACAACCUUCGAGGAAGUGUCGACACAGUGGCGCAGUUGCGAACAUCGAGGGUGGAUCUAGGCGUUCCACCACUAUCGCCUCCGCAUGGUUACGUUUCCGACGAAUGAUGCGAGCACGCACUCGUUCUCCUGGAAUGGCGUUGUGGACGAGCACCACGAAUGACUCGUUCUCACUCAGUUGCAAACGACUGACGCCCAUGCCAGUACCGUGCGCCAGUGACUCGACAGCGAGCUCCACCAGGAGGCCGCGCGAGGGCGACUUUUGUGACGAGGGCGCUCCAGGUCCAUCGGUCGCUACCAUGGUAGCGCUAGAGAGUCGCUCGCCCGCUGAAAAGUGUCGAGUUUGACGACUCCUGUGACACGGACGCUGCCAGACGCGUGCCCUGUAGAUAAUCGGUGAAAGCACUCGCGCAAAAGCAGGUUUUAGCGACACAGGUCUUUCGAAAAGUGAAACAUACGUUCGUUCGACCAGGACAGCACCAGUGCGAAUCUCUGUCCGCAUCCACGAGCAGUGCGAAAGGGCAAGUACUCGGAGCCUGGAAACACAGCGUCAGUGCCAGUUCGAGACUGAGCGACCUGCGUCCGUCUUGGUAGAGGUUUUCAACUUGGCAGGCUCGCGAAGCCGACUUUUCGGUUAAGGGACGCACUGUUGCUGCUCUUUAAUCCUAACGAGAGCUUGCCUCUUCAGCAGAGACUACCGCGUUCCAAUAGCCCCGCAGUAAAGUUCG
rnacentral:misc_RNA from 1 species